AGAGUUUGAUCCUGGCUCAGGAUGAACGCUAGCGGCAGGCUUAACACAUGCAAGUCGAAGGGCAUCGCGGGGAGUGCUUGCACUCCCUGGCGGCGACUGGCGCACGGGUGAGUAACACGUAUGCAACCUGCCCUCCACAGGGGGACAACCUUCCGAAAGGGAGGCUAAUCCCGCGUAAAUCUCGAUGGGGCAUCCCAUUGAGAGGAAAGCUUCGGCGGUGGAGGAUGGGCAUGCGGCGCAUUAGCUAGUCGGCGGGGUAACGGCCCACCGAGGCGACGAUGCGUAGGGGUUCUGAGAGGAAGGUCCCCCACACUGGUACUGAGACACGGAUCAGACUCCUACGGGAGGCAGCAGUGAGGAAUAUUGGUCAAUGGGCGGGAGCCUGAACCAGCCAAGCCGCGUGAGGGAAUAAGGCCCUAUGGGUCGUAAACCUCUUUUGUCGGGGAACAAAAGCGGGGACGCGUCCCCGUCUGCGUGUACCCGAAGAAAAAGCAUCGGCUAACUCCGUGCCAGCAGCCGCGGUAAUACGGAGGAUGCGAGCGUUAUCCGGAUUUAUUGGGUUUAAAGGGUGCGUAGGCGGUAUGGUAAGUCAGCGGUAAAAGCCCGGGGCUCAACCCCGGCGAGCCGUUGAAACUGCCGUGCUAGAGAGGAAGAGAAGUAGGCGGAAUGCGCAGUGUAGCGGUGAAAUGCUUAGAUAUUGCGCAGAACUCCGAUUGCGAAGGCAGCCUACCGGCUUCUGUCUGACGCUGAGGCACGAAAGCGUGGGUAUCGAACAGGAUUAGAUACCCUGGUAGUCCACGCAGUAAACGAU
rnacentral:rRNA from 1 species